AAUGCACUUUCCUCAAAAUGCACACAUGAUACCAGUGCUCUCACAUCUGUCAUGAUCUGAGUUCGGAUUUAGAGUUUGAAGUUCGAGAUAGUCAGAUAGAAUAUGGAUUUCACGAACGACCUAAGUUUUUUCGGAUUUGCGGUGACUGAACAGGAGCAGGAGAGUUUUGUGGUGUCAUCUGACACUGAUAGAAAUGAACACAAUGUUGAGUCUGGAGACCAAGCGGAUAAUUUAUUGUUUGACUGCAACAAUAAUGAAAAAGCCACAGAGCAACCUUUAGACUUAGAAUGUUCUGUUGAAAUUGUUGUUGACAAUAAGAAGAAAUAUGAAUGCAAUAUGUGUGAAAACAAAUAUAGCACAAGAACAGGAUACAAAAGACAUUUAGUUAGCCAUUCCAAUGAUGGUAAAAGUGCACUGUUUGCGAAAAAGUGUUCUAUUCCACCUAUGACUUAAAGAAUCAUAUGAGCAACCACAGUAACUUACGCACUUACUCGUGCAUUAAAUGUGAAAAAACCUUUAAAACAAAACGCGACUUAAAUGUUCACAGAACAAGGCUACACAAAUCUUACUUUAAAUGUGUGUGUAAAGUAUGUGGGAAGGGUUACAAUUAUAGAAAUGAGUUAGAUGGACACAGGGCAAAACAUGAUGGGUCCAAACCAUUUAAGUGUCCUAAGUGCAACAAAGCAUAUCAGUACUUGCCUAACCUGCCACGGCAUGUGUGCGGAAAAAUGGAAUCACCCAAGUGUGAUAAGUGUGGAAGCAUUUUCAAGACAAAAACGCUACCUUCAAGAACACAUGAAGGCUCAUGAUGACCCCGAACAGCAUCAGUGUUAUGUGUGUGGAACUUUUUACAAAUAUAGAUCUUCUUCUUAUAAACACAAAAAGAAGACUGGUCAUUAGUGUUUUAAAUGCUU